rnacentral:rRNA from 1 species
AAAUUGAAGAGUUUGAUCAUGGCUCAGAUUGAACGCUGGCGGCAGGCCUAACACAUGCAAGUCGAGCGGUAGCACAGAGAGCUUGCUCUCGGGUGACGAGCGGCGGACGGGUGAGUAAUGUCUGGGAAACUGCCUGAUGGAGGGGGAUAACUACUGGAAACGGUAGCUAAUACCGCAUAAUGUCGCAAGACCAAAGUGGGGGACCUUCGGGCCUCAUGCCAUCAGAUGUGCCCAGAUGGGAUUAGCUAGUAGGUGGGGUAACGGCUCACCUAGGCGACGAUCCCUAGCUGGUCUGAGAGGAUGACCAGCCACACUGGAACUGAGACACGGUCCAGACUCCUACGGGAGGCAGCAGUGGGGAAUAUUGCACAAUGGGCGCAAGCCUGAUGCAGCCAUGCCGCGUGUGUGAAGAAGGCCUUCGGGUUGUAAAGCACUUUCAGCGGGGAGGAAGGCGUUAAGGUUAAUAACCUUGUCGAUUGACGUUACCCGCAGAAGAAGCACCGGCUAACUCCGUGCCAGCAGCCGCGGUAAUACGGAGGGUGCAAGCGUUAAUCGGAAUUACUGGGCGUAAAGCGCACGCAGGCGGUCUGUCAAGUCGGAUGUGAAAUCCCCGGGCUCAACCUGGGAACUGCAUUCGAAACUGGCAGGCUAGAGUCUUGUAGAGGGGGGUAGAAUUCCAGGUGUAGCGGUGAAAUGCGUAGAGAUCUGGAGGAAUACCGGUGGCGAAGGCGGCCCCCUGGACAAAGACUGACGCUCAGGUGCGAAAGCGUGGGGAGCAAACAGGAUUAGAUACCCUGGUAGUCCACGCCGUAAACGAUGUCGAUUUGGAGGUUGUGCCCUUGAGGCGUGGCUUCCGGAGCUAACGCGUUAAAUCGACCGCCUGGGGAGUACGGCCGCAAGGUUAAAACUCAAAUGAAUUGACGGGGGCCCGCACAAGCGGUGGAGCAUGUGGUUUAAUUCGAUGCAACGCGAAGAACCUUACCUGGUCUUGACAUCCACAGAACUUAGCAGAGAUGCUUUGGUGCCUUCGGGAACUGUGAGACAGGUGCUGCAUGGCUGUCGUCAGCUCGUGUUGUGAAAUGUUGGGUUAAGUCCCGCAACGAGCGCAACCCUUAUCCUUUGUUGCCAGCGGUUAGGCCGGGAACUCAAAGGAGACUGCCAGUGAUAAACUGGAGGAAGGUGGGGAUGACGUCAAGUCAUCAUGGCCCUUACGACCAGGGCUACACACGUGCUACAAUGGCAUAUACAAAGAGAAGCGACCUCGCGAGAGCAAGCGGACCUCAUAAAGUAUGUCGUAGUCCGGAUUGGAGUCUGCAACUCGACUCCAUGAAGUCGGAAUCGCUAGUAAUCGUAGAUCAGAAUGCUACGGUGAAUACGUUCCCGGGCCUUGUACACACCGCCCGUCACACCAUGGGAGUGGGUUGCAAAAGAAGUAGGUAGCUUAACCUUCGGGAGGGCGCUUACCACUUUGUGAUUCAUGACUGGGGUGAAGUCGUAACAAGGUAACCGUAGGGGAACCUGCGGUUGGAUCACCUCCUUACCUUAAAGAA